CCAAGCAAGCCUAUCCAUUUACCUUUGCUUAACAAAUUUAUCAUAUCAUGCAUACACACACACACACUUUUUCCCGGGUGUGAACAUAGCCAAAACACAAUGGCAUUAUCGAUAAUAAUAUACAUACACUAUACCAGUCAUGUAUUUAGCAAUUUACAUUGUAUACACAUAUUCACAUUGUUAAAUUGUAUUCACAAUACAAAAGGACCCAUGACUUCCAGCGGAGACAUUUACAAUAAAAGGGAUUACUAUCGAAUGCCAGACACAUACCCAGGAGAUGCACUAUGGGGACUCCUCGAUCUAGGGUCCAAUAGUCACCU
rnacentral:lncRNA from 1 species